rnacentral:rRNA from 1 species
UACGUAGGUGGCAAGCGUUGUCCGGAUUUACUGGGCGUAAAGGGAGCGUAGGCGGACUUUUAAGUGAGAUGUGAAAUACCCGGGCUCAACUUGGGUGCUGCAUUUCAAACUGGAAGUCUAGAGUGCAGGAGAGGAGAAUGGAAUUCCUAGUGUAGCGGUGAAAUGCGUAGAGAUUAGGAAGAACACCAGUGGCGAAGGCGAUUCUCUGGACUGUAACUGACGCUGAGGCUCGAAAGCGUGGGGAGCAAACAGGAUUAGAUACCCCGGUAGU